UUUAAUUUUAGACAUUUACGUACCUAAAGUUCCAACAUGUAACGUUGAGGAGAGUUUAUUGGCAGAAAAUCUAGCUUGUAUUGGAGUAUUAGCACUUCAAAAACAAAUCCUUUGGUUUUCAUAACCUUGGAAUAAAUCUUUAAAAUGUGCUUUACGCAAGGGCCUUGCUUCACGGAGGCCGCCAACUUGAGCAGCCAUGUUUUCUACAGAGGCCCGAACAGACAAACAAGCCAAAUUUAAGCCUUGCUAUCCCUUUGCCGUUUCCAGUACAGCUCAGCUAGUGACAGCCAAAAUGGAAAUGAGCCAAAAUGGCUGCUGUGGAAAGAACGCAUUAUCUGGCGACGCUCAGUGGGUUCGGGCUCCCUAUGUUGAGAAUCACUGCUAUAGUAGGUCAUAUGAGGGGAGAGGGUUGCUCUACUGAAGAAAGGGAGGAGGAGGCGGGCUAAGAGCAGGUCUUCUUGGGCGGGGUUUCCCCUCUUAUUUCAAGUCCGCACAGUAGAGGAGUGAAACGGGAGCGAGGACGGAGAGAAGCAGCGGCUGACUCUACUGGAAUGUCGCGGCAAAGGAGGAUGAAGGAGGAGUCUUGCAUGUGCCAGGUCUAAUAAUUUGGUGUGUACAGGAAAAAGUCGAUAUCCAGUGUGGAUUUGCAUAGUUUUUGACCACCCCGAGCACAGUGGGCUGUGCAGAAAGCAUGUAGGUCAACUGUGCUGUUGCUAUGAGGGGAGGAGUGACGUGGCUCCUGCUGCCCACAGAGGUAUCCUACUAAAUAUCGGGUCUGAUACACACACACACACACACACACACACACACACUGGCUUUAUGGCUCUCCUCUGACUUCCUUUGUUGAUAAUGCUGCAUACAUUCAGACACCGAGGUGGAGAGCACAUGCUCCUCCUGCAUCCAAACGCCUCGUCCGUGCUGAGUUUGGAGUGUGAAUGUGUGUCAAUGCUGUUCACCUAAUUAUCUGAUCAUCAUUAUUAUUAUUAUUAUUGUUAUUUUUAUUAUCAUUAUGCCAAACGUGGACACUGAGACUCAGAAAUGUUACACGCCGCAUGACUGAACCUCCACAGCUGUGGUGUUGGUGAUGAGGCUCAUGCAUUGUUGUGAGUUAACCUCUGAAAUCCUCUCUCCACUGCUCAACAGCAGCUGGCUGCUCUGUUUUACACUAUUAUGGCCAGUCAAGGGUUUCAUGAUGGGGUGGCAACUGUAACGCAUUAUGGGCUUUGAUUGGCUGUCGGUGCCAGCCAGCGUUAGGCUGAUGAAAGGCUGCAGACUCAUGUUCAGACCCCCAGCCCGGAUGAGAGCGCGUCGCUUGCUGAGUGACUGGCUGACGAUUUAAUCCUGUAUUUGACCUUCCAAGGAUACUCCCGUUAAAUAUUUAUGACUUCACACUUGACAGCACGUUAGGCAGAGUUCAGUCUGAGCCAUGAUUCUGUCCACAAGCGAUUGUCCCGGUGUUACACAAUAAAUUCUACUCCGGCUACUCACUGUAGCGGAAGGCGUAGGUUGAAAGGAGUGAGUUGUUCUUGUUUGCAGAAGCAGCUGACUGGUAAACAAACCACAGAGAGGACUUUUUAGUGAUAUCGUCAAGUCUGUUCAGGUCUGUUUUAAAUCUAUUCAAAUGUGUGGUAAGAAAGACGCAUUACCCGGCCGAUGGAGCAGCAAGCAGAGCAGAGGUAGCUCACAUCCUCCUCAUCCAUCUUGUGUCAAAGGUCUUAUUUGAGCCGAGCCACAGAUAAAUCAUUCUUGAAGCAGCCAAAGCCCCAGAGCAGUAAAUUAGAGCCCUCUGUGGAAAAAUAUGUCCACUCAUGUGGGCAUCACAUCUGCUCUGAGGCAGCCGCACCUUCACCAGGACAGAUACACCUGUGUGUGUGUGUGUGUCUCCGGAGAAUAAAACACCACAAUUUAACAUCAAAUAUGAAAGUAAACACUAGUGGCUGACAAUGAUUUUCAUUAUUGAUGAAUAUGCCAAUGGCUUAAUGAUUUAAUUGAUACAGAAUGAUUGUGCCUCCAUCCACAAGCCACUGAGCGAUGGACUAGAUUAGGACUAGAUUAGAUUCCUUUAUUGUCACUGUACCAUGAGAUGUUAUUUUGGAACAGUCAACAUCAGCAGAUGCUGAGUUUAAGGUUUAAGAUAAAUACAAUAUAAUGUAGAUACUAUGCACUCUAUAAAUACUAUAAAACCUUCACAAUUGCUAUAUCUCAACCCCACAGAGCACCUAUGUAAGAUUUAGGACUAACUCUUUAACAUCGCUUUAAUCAAAGUACCAAAUUGUGGAUUAUUUUUGAGAAGAAUAGUAGUUUCCAUUGCUUUAUUCGAGACCACAGACUUUAUAAGAAUAAGUAAAAAUGUCCCAGAAUCAGUUCUGUGAGCAGAAAGACACUUAAUGCUAGUCUUUGUUUUACUUCUUCACACGUCUGUGGUUUUUUGACAUGGAAUUCUUCUACAACUGUUAUAAUUAGUCAUUUAUCCUUUUUGUUUCCAAGCAAAAUCAAUCAAUCAAUCAAUCAAUGUUGGCCUCAGCUCUCCCAUGAUGCACUGCGAUAACACAGCGCCACCCUUACAAGUAAAAAAAAAGAGAUGAGCGUCUUGUGGCGAGCCCACUCAGCAUCUCCCACAGAUCUCUCCUCAGGUCGGGUGGGAGUGUUGCAACCAUGGAAAAAACAAGCCGCCACCUACAGGAACGACUGAAUCAUCACUGUCAUCGUCCAAUCUGAACCGCACACACACACACACAUACACGCACGCACAGAGGGAGGGAGGGGUGUUGUGCCAGAUCAGGACACACACAGUCCUGGCCUUUGGGGACCAGAUGUCCCUUCAGCCCCUGUAGAGGAUCCCGGGUGUGAGACUCCUACAAUAACAUAACAAUAUGCUCCUCUGAGUAUGUGUUAAGGAAUGUAGGAUUGUGUGUUUAUGUGUUUUACAUAUGUAAAACCUAAUCUGUUCAUGGGAUUAUAAGAAUAAAAGUCAUUAUUCACAGUU